CUUGAAAGCUCUAGACCAUGAGACAGAGCAGUGGAUCUUAGAGUGAAGACUGGCAGGUCUGUGCAGAACAUGUCCCAUGGAGACAUUAAAAAGUCCAGGUCAGCAGGAAGUGUGUCCAGGAUGAAAGAGAAGGAAGCUUUGGGCAAUGGAGGAAUCCCCAAGAAAAGCAAUGGAAUUUGCUGCAACAGUCCCUGGCUAAAAGGAGAUGAGCAGAAACAUUAUGCUGGCAGGAAAAUGCUCAAGGAUGUAAUUAGCAACAGUGAUAAAAGAACAGGCAUGGAAACAUGA
rnacentral:lncRNA from 1 species